rnacentral:rRNA from 1 species
UCCUACGGGAGGCAGCAGUGGGGAAUAUUGGACAAUGGGGGGAACCCUGAUCCAGCCAUGCCGCGUGUGUGAAGAAGGCCUUUUGGUUGUAAAGCACUUUAAGCGAGGAGGAGGCUACCGAGAUUAAUACUCUUGGAUAGUGGACGUUACUCGCAGAAUAAGCACCGGCUAACUCUGUGCCAGCAGCCGCGGUAAUACAGAGGGUGCAAGCGUUAAUCGGAUUUACUGGGCGUAAAGCGCGCGUAGGUGGCCAAUUAAGUCAAAUGUGAAAUCCCCGAGCUUAACUUGGGAAUUGCAUUCGAUACUGGUUGGCUAGAGUAUGGGAGAGGAUGGUAGAAUUCCAGGUGUAGCGGUGAAAUGCGUAGAGAUCUGGAGGAAUACCGAUGGCGAAGGCAGCCAUCUGGCCUAAUACUGACACUGAGGUGCGAAAGCAUGGGGAGCAAACAGGAUUAGAUACCCUGGUAGUCCAUGCCGUAAACGAUGUCUACUAGCCGUUGGGGCCUUUGAGGCUUUAGUGGCGCAGCUAACGCGAUAAGUAGACCGCCU